GUAGACACAUUCCAGCCAAUCAGCAGCAGGCCCUCCCUCCCAGGCCCUCCCGCCUCCUGGACAGCAUCCAUUGUGAAGCUGCAUUCUUAGUGAGCUGUGCAGGAGGUGGGAGGGUCUGGGAGGGAGGGUCUGCUGCUGAUUGGCUGGAAUGUGUCUG